rnacentral:rRNA from 1 species
UCGGGAAUUUUGGGCAAUGGGCGAAAGCCUGACCCAGCAACGCCGCGUGAAGGAUGAAGUAUUUCGGUAUGUAAACUUCGUAAGAAUAGGAAGAAUAAAUGACGGUACUAUUUAUAAGGUCCGGCUAACUACGUGCCAGCAGCCGCGGUAAUACGUAGGGACCAAGUGUUGUUCGGAUUUACUGGGCGUAAAGGGCGCGUAGGCGGCAUGACAAGUCACUUGUGAAAUCUCUGGGCUUAACCCAGAACGGCCAAGUGAUACUGUCGCGCUAGAGUGCAGAAGGGGCAAUCGGAAUUCUUGGUGUAGCGGUGAAAUGCGUAGAUAUCAAGAGGAACACCUGAGGUGAAGACGGGUUGCUGGGCUGACACUGACGCUGAGGCGCGAAAGCCAGGGGAGCAAACGGGAUUAGAUACCCCAGUAGUCCCUGAGCGGGCUGGCAAGGCGCAU